GUCUAUUUGGAGUUUUAAGAAGUCUGGCCUGCCCACUGAUAGAAAAUUUUUAAGGGCCGCGGUAUUAUGACCGUGCUAAGGUAGCAUAAUCAUUAGGUUUUUAAAUGAGAUCUUGUAUGAAUGGUUGAACAAAGAAAAAACUGUCUUUAAUAAUAAAAUUUGAAUUUUACUUUUAAGUGAGAAGGCUUAAAUAAUUUAAGGGGACGAUAAGACCCUAUAAAACUUUACAUUGAAAUUAUAUUUGGUUGAAUUUUAAAGUGAUAAAGAUCUAAAAUAAAGAUUGUUAUGUUGGGGCGACAAAAGUAGAAAUUAUAGUAGCUGCUUGAAAAAUAAUCACUUUUAAGUGAUAAAAGUUAUAGAUCUUAGUUAUAAAUUUAAAGAUUAAGUUACUUUAGGGAUAACAGUGUAAUUUUUUUUGAGAGUUCAUAUCGAAAAAAAAGUUUGUAACCUCGAUGUUGAAUUAAAAUAUCUAUAUAAUGAAGCAGUUGUAUAAGAGGGUCUGUUCGACCUUUAAUUUUUUACAUGAUUUGAGUUCAAAUCGGCGUGAG
rnacentral:rRNA from 1 species